GACGAACGCUGGCGGCGUGCUUAACACAUGCAAGUCGAACGGAAAGGCCCUGCUUUUGUGGGGUGCUCGAGUGGCGAACGGGUGAGUAACACGUGAGUAACCUGCCCUUGACUUUGGGAUAACUUCAGGAAACUGGGGCUAAUACCGGAUAGGAGCUCCUGCUGCAUGGUGGGGGUUGGAAAGUUUCGGCGGUUGGGGAUGGACUCGCGGCUUAUCAGCUUGUUGGUGGGGUAGUGGCUUACCAAGGCUUUGACGGGUAGCCGGCCUGAGAGGGUGACCGGCCACAUUGGGACUGAGAUACGGCCCAGCCUCCUACGGGAGGCAGCAGUGGGGAAUAUUGCACAAUGGGCGGAAGCCUGAUGCAGCACCGCCGCGUGCGGGAUGACGGCCUUCGGGUUGUAAACCGCUUUCGCCUGUGACGAAGCGUGAGUGACGGUAAUGGGUAAAGAAGCACCGGCUAACUACG
rnacentral:rRNA from 1 species